UGUCGAUAAAGGCAAACCUUCCGAAAGGGAGGGGCGCAAAGCAAUGGGUCUAAGCCUCACCAGGGGUACGACUGCCAGGCUGCCGAA
rfam:Firmicutes bacterium ML8_F2 scaffold_37, whole genome shotgun sequence.